rnacentral:siRNA from 1 species
UUAAGCGUGCUUGGGCGAGA